AGCAGUAGCCGCGGGAAUACGAAGGGGGCUAGCGUUGUUCGGAUUAACUGGGUGUAAAGGGCGCGUAGGCGGCUUUGUAAGUUAGAGGUGAAAGCCCGGAGCUCAACUCCGGAAUUGCCUUUAAGACUGCAGAGCUAGCAGGUGAGAGAGGUGAGUGGAAUUCCGAGUGUAGAGGUGAAAUUCGUAGAUAUUCGGAAGAACACCAGUGGCGAAGGCGGCUCACUGGCUCAUACUGGACGCUGAGGUGCGAAAGCGUGGGGAGCAAACAGGAUUAGAUACCCGCGUAGUCCCUGUCUCUUAUAC
rnacentral:rRNA from 1 species